AAUAACUUCCCCCGACGGGUGUCGCCGCUAUCGCCGCUACGUCAUUUCCUGCGUCUCGCGGCGGGCCGCCGGGAGCACAUGUGUGUGUUCUCCGUGACAUUCUUGAAGUUGUGAGUAAUUAGAUUGUUUUUUGCUGCGUUUAGGUUGUACCACCUCGUUGUUUUCGUGUACUUUUGUGCUCAUCGACGCGAAGUGAGCGUCCGGAGUGAAGGCGACGCGAUUAUGCGUGAGAAAGAAGAGCACCAGCGGCCUACGACAUCGGUGUUUCUUUGUGACAGUGUGUUUACUACGCCUACGACGGCCGUCAUUCGUGGCGAAGGAGAAAACAUCUUCCAUUCGGCCUCAACAGUGAUGAAGUGGACGUUUUGUUUUUCGGCGGAAUGCAUCGUCAACAUGGUCCAUCCACUACGUAAACGAAACGGCGUGCCCAGAGUACAGAUCGUGACAGCGCUCCGCCUUCAAACCGAGGGCCUUUUGCAAGGCGCAUGAACUGCUCAUAUAAAAGUUGCAGUCAGCAUGAAGCAAUUGCAUGGGAACCGACUGGCUGUCUUGGGCCUACAUGUUGCUGAAAAGACAGUGAAGACGUCUGACCCGACAGGUAGAAAAGAAGCAGAUGGCUACAGUGAUCAAUGAAGAAAUGGCUUCAUCUAUGAUGGCUCGCCUUAGGACAUUGGAAUGGAGCUACAAAAAGGCAUCAUCAUCCUCGCCUGUGCCCUGGAACUUUGGUUUGAAUGAGACUGUUCUUCAAUGUAGAACGGCCGCAAGACUUGUCACCACAAGGCAUAGUGCAAGCUCAAAAUAUUGUACAGGAGGCUAGAAUAAAUGACCCUCCAUGCAGUCACUCUGUAUCUGUGAUAAAUGGGACCAUUUCACGCAGAACACUCACAAGUG